UCAAAAACCGGUACCCAGUUCGGAUUGUAGGCUGCAACUCGCCUACAUGAAGUCGGAGUUGCUAGUAAUCGCGGAUCAGAAUGCCGCGGUGAAUGCGUUCCCGGGUCUUGUACACACCGCCCGUCACACCAUGGAAGUUGGGGGCGCCCGAAGUUGGUCGGGAAAUAGAUUACCUAAGGCGAAACCAAUGACUGGGGUGAAGUCGUAACAAGGUAAC
rnacentral:rRNA from 1 species